CACGUAGGGGGCUAGCGUUGUCCGGAAUCAUUGGGCGUAAAGAGCGUGUAGGCGGCCCGGUAAGUCCGCUGUGAAAGUCGGGGGCUCAACCCUCGAAUGCCGGUGGAUACUGUCGGGCUAGAGUGCGGAAGAGGCGAGUGGAAUUCCUGGUGUAGCGGUGAAAUGCGCAGAUAUCAGGAGGAACACCAAUUGCGAAGGCAGCUCGCUGGGACGUAACUGACGCUGAGACGCGAAAGCGUGGGGAGCAAACAGG
rnacentral:rRNA from 1 species